GAUGAACGCUGGCGGCGUGCCUAAUACAUGCAAGUCGAGCGAAUGGAUUAAGAGCUUGCUCUUAUGAAGUUAGCGGCGGACGGGUGAGUAACACGUGGGUAACCUGCCCAUAAGACUGGGAUAACUCCGGGAAACCGGGGCUAAUACCGGAUAACAUUUUGAACCGCAUGGUUCGAAAUUGAAAGGCGGCUUCGGCUGUCACUUAUGGAUGGACCCGCGUCGCAUUAGCUAGUUGGUGAGGUAACGGCUCACCAAGGCAACGCUGCGUAGCCGACCGGAGAGGGUGAUCGGGCACAAUGGGACUGAGACACGGCCCAGACACCUACGGGAGGAAGCAGUAGGGAAUCUUCCGCAAUGGACGAAAGUCUGACGGAGCAACGCCGCGGGAGUGAUGAAGGCUUUCGGGUCGUAAAACUCUGUUGUUAGGGAAGAACAAGUGCUAGUUGAAUAAGCUGGCACCUUGACGGUACCUAACCAGAAAGCCACGGCUAACUACGUGCCAGCAGCCGCAGUAA
rnacentral:rRNA from 1 species